rnacentral:rRNA from 1 species
UACGAAGGGGGCUAGCGUUGUUCGGAAUCACUGGGCGUAAAGCGCGCGUAGGCGGAUUGUUAAGUCAGGGGUGAAAUGCCGAGGCUCAACCUCGGAACUGCCUUUGAUACUGGCAAUCUUGAGUCCGGGAGAGGUGAGUGGAACUCCUAGUGUAGAGGUGAAAUUCGUAGAUAUUAGGAAGAACACCAGUGGCGAAGGCGGCUCACUGGCCCGAUACUGACGCUGAGGCACGAAAGCGUGGGGAGCAAACAGG